CCUACGGGAGGCAGCAGUGAGGAAUAUUGGUCAAUGGGCGCGAGCCUGAACCAGCCAAGUAGCGUGAAGGAUGACUGCCCUACGGGUUGUAAACUUCUUUUAUAAAGGAAUAAAGUGAGGCACGUGUGCCUUUUUGUAUGUACCUUAUGAAUAAGGAUCGGCUAACUCCGUGCCAGCAGCCGCGGUAAUACGGAGGAUCCGAGCGUUAUCCGGAUUUAUUGGGUUUAAAGGGACCGUAGAUGGGUUGUUAAGUCAGUUGUGAAAGUUUGCGGCUCAACCGUAAAAUUGCAGUUGAUACUGGCAGGCUUGAGUACAGUAGAGGUAGGCGGAAUUCGUGGUGUAGCGGUGAAAUGCUUAGAUAUCACGAAGAACUCCGAUUGCGAAGGCAGCUUACUAAACUGCAACUGACGUUGAUGCACGAAAGUGUGGGUAUCAAACAGGAUUAGAUACCCGGGUAGUC
rnacentral:rRNA from 1 species